rnacentral:lncRNA from 1 species
ACAGGACAUCGAAAGCACAGGAAGUUCCUGUCUCCUGCCUAGGGUUCUGGAAAAAGUUAAUGGCUGAGCCAAGUGUAGGAUUCACACCCCAGGAUUUUUCCUGCCUUCCCCAAUUUCUGCGUCUGCUCUUUCUGUAGAGCCUGACAUUUCAAGGGCCCUGGGGGAAAAUAUUGACUGGUUUGGGAAGGGACUCAGAAUUGCACCUACAAAGAAUUAUUAAUGGCACUGGCAUCCCUAACUACUGGGAAGAGAAAGGGGUUUCAAGGGUUGUUGGAGUUUUAAAGAAGACUGUGGAUAGAAACUGUCCAGCUCAGUGUCUAUGCCUCCAGCAGCUUCUCAGGAACUUCUCCUGCCACUAUUCACCAUUUCAUGACCUUCUUCUGCAGACCUCUCUUCCCCCUCACAGACAGGCUGCAGCCUGGAGCCAGGACACACUAGCAACCUGAGGGCAUCCACGCGAGGCUCUGGGCUGCAGGUGUGGAGACCCAGGGACCACUCAGCAUUUUCAACUCGUCAUAUGUCAUUUGGGAGGGUCGCCGCCCCU